UUCCCAGACAUAGUGUAAAAAAUUUAUUAUAAAGAAAAUGUUAUUUUCUUGAAACACAAUCAAAAUCCGCCCCACUAAAUUCUAAUAUUUUAGUAACGAAAACACAUUCAAGUUAUUUUCUUGAAACACUUUCAAAGUCCACCGCACGUUAGCAAUUUGAAUAUAUUGGAGGGCAUUGUAUCAUUGUCAUUAAUAAUCCUUUCCUGGUUGGAAAACAGGAUUUUUUUUAAACUAAUUUUUGUCAUAGGACCUUUGAGAAGCAGGGUUUGGCGCCAUUUCUGUGAUUGCGUCAAAUGGCAGAGUCACCGGUUUUUGAUCGAAUGAUGAGUCAUCUUCGUGCAACAUGCAAGUAUUACACCGGUUAUCCAAAGGAUCUUGGGCCAUCACGAGUUAUUCAUUUUACUUCCGAGCGUGAGUUUGUUCAGCUUCUACAUAAAGGAUACCCUGUGGUUGUUGCGUUUACAAUCAGGGGUAAUUACACUAAAUAUCUUGACAAAGUACUGGAGGAAGCAGCUGCUGAAUUUUAUCCACGUGUUAAAUUUAUGCGUGUUGAGUGUCCAAAGUAUCCUGGAUUUUGCAUAACACGACAGAGGAAGGAGUAUCCAUUUGUUGAAAUAUUUCAUAGCCCAGAGCAAGUAGGUUUGACUAUAUAUUAUUUUUAUAUUGUUUUUUCAGGUCUUGUUGCUGCUAUACAUGGUGAAAUCUCCAUGUCUGACUUCGCUUCAAAUUAUUGGAAUUGGUGAAAGUGUUUCUUCUAUAUUGUAUAGACUGCUAGAAUUUGGUUGUCUUCCUGUCCCUGGCUUAACUGUAAAUGGUUUUCUUUGUUAUUGUGUUUUCUUGAUAAAAAAAUAUUUACAAUUCCUUACAUUUGUAAUUUUUCCCUCUUUUUAUGCUGAAAGGAUAAGGGGACUGUGAUCAAUUGAGGAAGAUAUAACCUAGGAUCUCUUAUUCAGAUGCAAACUAUGCCACUGCUCCUUGUAUUUGUUUUAAAAGAAUGAGAACCAUUGAAAUGAAGUCUUUGUACUUGUUUUACACGUCUUUAAAAUGAAUCAUUUUUUUUAUAUAUUUUUUCAAAUUCUUUUAAAUGAAUGGUUUCUGUAUUGCUUUAUUAAUUUCUCUCUUCUGAAUGCAACAACACCCCUCUUUCCCCAGCAAUGCAGUUGCAGGGGGUGUGGUUUGGCAGUAUUAUGAAUGUAUAUGU